rnacentral:rRNA from 1 species
UAUGGCGGAGCGGCUGCACCCGAUCCCAUUCCGAACUCGGCCGUGAAACGCUCCAGCGCCAAUGGUACUUUGUCUUAAGACACGGGAGAGUAGGUCGCUGCCAGGU